rnacentral:rRNA from 1 species
UACGUAGGCAGCGAGCGUUGUUCGGAUUUACUGGGCGUAAAGGGUGCGUAGGUGGCGCUGUAAGUCGGGUGUGAAAUCCUGAGGCUUAACCUCGGAACUGCAUUCGAUACUGCGGUGCUUGAGGACUGGAGAGGAGACUGGAAUUCAUGGUGUAGCAGUGAAAUGCGUAGAGAUCAUGAGGAAGACCAGUGGCGAAGGCGGGUCUCUGGACAGUUCCUGACACUGAGGCACGAAGGCCAGGGGAGCAAACGGG